rnacentral:tRNA from 1 species
GUUAAUGUAGCUUAAUUAAUAAAGCAAGGCACUGAAAAUGCCUAGAUGAGUCAACAGGACUCCAUAAACA